GACCCCACCACUCAUCUCGCACCUCUGUUCGGACUCCUGUUCACGCACGAUGGCGCGACCACGGCCAAACCAGACCACCCGCGGUUCCCGCGAUCCCAAACCCUCGAUCGAAUCUGUAGAAACAGAUCGAAUUCCGUCGAUCUCCUCUGCCAACUCCCUGCCUCGCCCUGUGGAACCGAGCUCAAAAUCAAGCACACUGACCUCCCAAGUUUCGCUGCCCGAGCUUCCUUCCACGGCCAACUCCGGCAACUAUAACCCACACCCCUGCCCCUCUGUUCGUCUGCAGAGUCUCCUUGAUGCACUUCCUCUCCCUGACCAUCUUCCCUCGUUGCAGACGCUCGGAUUCGAGCUCGCCAGCCAAACCGAUCUCCGCUGCCCGAAGUUCCUCCUCCGACGAAUUUCACCGCUGCCACACACUGCUGGUUCGAGCGCCCCACAUCCUCCCGAAGAUCACCGCCAACGCCGGAGAUCCAACUCCACUGCAUCGCCAACAGAGAGCGCCUCGUUCGCCGUUUAUGCCACCAUGGCCAGCCCGCCGAACGCCGCACCCGCACGCCAUCUCGGCAUCACCGGAGGCUGCCGGAGGAGCGCCGCCGCCCACGCCCGAAGCCGCCGCCGUUUCCCCCCUGCUUCGAUUACUCGGAGCGUGACGAGUAGAAAUUGUCAGGAAUUAUGAGUGCGACGACCUUCAUCAAACUUACAG